rnacentral:rRNA from 1 species
UGAGUACGAGCUGCUACGGCAGCGAAGUGGGUGAUGUCAUGCUUCCAAGAAAAGCCCUAUACCCGUUAAGGCAUGAUGGCCUGUACCCGAAACCGACACAGGUGGGGUGGUAGAGAAUACCGAGGGGCGCGAGGUAACUCUCUCUAAGGAACUCGGCAAAAUGGCCCCGUAACUUCGGGAGAAGGGGUGCCACCGCAAGGUGGUCGCAGUGAAGAGGCCCAGGCGACUGUUUACCAAAAACACAGGUCUCCGCUAAGUCGCAAGACGAUGUAUGGGGGCUGACGCCUGCCCAGUGCCGGAAGGUUAAGGAAGCUGGUCAGCGUAAGCGAAGCUAGCGACUGAAGCCCCGGUGAACGGCGGCCGUAACUAUAACGGUCCUAAGGUAGCGAAAUUCCUUGUCGGGUAAGUUCCGACCCGCACGAAAGGCGUAACGAUCUGGGCGCUGUCUCGGAGAGAGGCUCGGCGAAAUAGAAUUGUCUGUGAAGAUGCGGACUACGUGCACCCGGACAGAAAGACCCUAUGAAGCUUUACUGUAGCUUGGUAUUGUGCUCGGGCUCGGAAUGCGCAGGAUAGGUGGGAGGCUAUGAACCAUUGCUUGUGGGUGAUGGUGAGCCACUGGUGAGAUACCACUCUUUCCGAGCUAGAGUUCUAACAGCCACCCGUUAUCCGGGGGCUGGACAGUAUCAGGUGGGCAGUUUGACUGGGGCGGUCGCCUCCUAAAAGGUAACGGAGGCGCGCAAAGGUUUGCUCAGGCUGGUUGGAAAUCAGCCGACGAGUGUAAAAGCAGAAGCAAGCUUGACUGUGAGACCUACAAGUCGAACAGGGAGGAAACUCGGCUUUAGUGAUCCGACGGUUCUGCGUGGAAGGGCCGUCGCUCAACGGAUAAAAGUUACUCUAAGGAUAACAGGCUGAUCUCCCCCAAGAGUUCACAUCGACGGGGAGGUUUGGCACCUCGAUGUCGGCUCAUCGCAACCUGGGGCUGAAGUCGGUCCCAAGGGUUGGGCUGUUCGCCCAUUAAAGCGGUACGCGAGCUGGGUUCAGAACGUCGUGAGACAGUUCGGUCCAUAUCCGGUGCAUGCGCAGGAAUAUUGAGAGGAUUUCUCCCUAGUACGAGAGGACCGGGAGGAACGCACCUCUGGUGUACCAGUUAUCGUGCCAACGGUAAACGCUGGGUAGCCAUGUGCGGAGAGGAUAACCGCUGAAAGCAUCUAAGUGGGAAGCCCACCUCAAGAUGAGUAUUCCCAUGGGGUAACCCAGUAAGGUCGCGGGAAGAACACCCGUUGAUAGGCUCUACGUGGAAGCGCAGUAAUGUGUGAAGCGGAGGAGUACUAAUAGACCGAGGGC